rnacentral:rRNA from 1 species
UACGGAGGGUGCAAGCGUUAUCCGGAUUCACUGGGUUUAAAGGGUGCGUAGGAGGGCAGGUAAGUCAGUGGUGAAAUCUCCAAGCUUAACUUGGAAACUGCCGUUGAUACUAUCUGCCUUGAAUACCGUGGAGGUGAGCGGAAUAUGUCAUGUAGCGGUGAAAUGCUUAGAUAUGACAUAGAACACCAAUUGCGAAGGCAGCUCGCUACACGAAUAUUGACGCUGAGGCACGAAAGCGUGGGGAUCAAACAGG